UACGGAGGUCUCAAGCGUUGUUCGGAUUCAUUGGGCGUAAAGGGUGCGUAGGUGGCGGGGUAAGUCAGGUGUGAAAUCUCGGGGCUCAACCCCGAAACUGCACUUGAUACUGCCUUGCUCGAGUACUGGAGAGGAGAUUGGAAUUUACGGUGUAGCAGUGAAAUGCGUAGAUAUCGUAAGGAAGACCAGUGGCGAAGGCGAAUCUCUGGACAGAUACUGACACUGAGGCACGAAGGCCAGGGGAGCAAACGGG
rnacentral:rRNA from 1 species